rfam:Anolis carolinensis unplaced genomic scaffold chrTn0356, whole genome shotgun sequence.
AAAAUGGCUUUUCUAGAAGCCACAAUAUGAAAACACUGCAUGGGUAU